AACUGUCUCUGUUCAUAAAAAUACGAAUCAACGCAAAAUUCAAAAGAAAAACUGAAACAAGCAAUCCAUGCCCCACAAAACCCCAAAUGUCAAGUUCGAUGUCGUGUGAGAAUACUGGAAAAAUAUCAGUAUAGUUCGGAUUGUCGGAAGUUAACCACAUAAAAAUAAAAUUCUAAAUUUCUAAAUUUUGAAAAAUAUCUAUUUCGUUUUUUUUUUUCAAUUAGGUUUAAGCAUAAAAGUGAUUUGUUUUUUUUAGUUUUUAAAGUUAAGCAUAAAGUGAAUAAGGUCACUAACCAUACAGUAUACUGUAUGGUUAGUGAUAAGAUACAACAUAAUAAUACUUCUCCAAGAUACACAAGGCAUAAAAAUACUUCUCCAAGAUACACAUCUAUUGAUUGUUCAACAAGAGUCGCACGCAGAGAGUUUACAUCAUACAUACCUGGCAAAAAAAAAACUACAAAUCAUACGGCUGUAAACUGUGGCGGGUCAAUAAGGUACAACACGGCUUCUUCGGAUAGUUUUUCUACACAAACCUACAUAAAUACGGGCACUCUACGUCCAUAUUCAUAAAUACCUGGCAAAAAAAAAACUACAAAACUUACGGCUGUAAACUGUGGUGGCACAAUCGGGUACAACACGGCUUCUUCGGAUAGUUUUUUACACACCCCUACAUAAAUACGGGAAUGGAUCUCAGGGCCCCGAGAAGACUCGCAAGUAGAACCAACACUUUGUUCGACACUUAUUCGGCAAUCGGAAAAUAAAGACUGUGUUCAUCGGGUACACGUUCAGAUGUGUGACUGAUAAAAAUAUAUUUUGUUACUAAUAAUUAUAUUACUCGUGAUUAUAUUUUGAUACUAAAGUACACAAAGAUGUUUAAUUAUUUGCCUGAACCAGAAUGGGAUAUACUCGCAGCUGUAUAAAAUCCCCCGAGAGAAAGGUAUUCAAGAUUUCAUCUUUAGUUUUACAGAUAUUUCCAAUGCAAACAUGUGUUAUUUAAAUAAAAGAAUUUGUACGUUGUUCCAACCAACUCUGAGCCAAGAGGUUUUCAUGGGGAAUAAUAAGCUACAAGGUUCUACACUGCGUAUCAUACGAAUCAUCCUUCGUAUACCCAAAAUGUACAGAACUAACUGGCCCAUUCGCUAUCAAUAAAAAUAAUUAGACAUCUGUGUGUAUUCUAGUAUUAAAAUAUAAUAAUUUUUAGUAUCAAAAUAUAAUCAUUUUUAGUAUCAAAAUAUAGAGUAAAUAUUUCAGAGUUCCAAAUUGUUGUUCGCGUUUGUUUUUCGAUUUCAAUUUUUUGGUUUUUCGA